UGAGGAAUAUUGGUCAAUGGCCGAGAGGCUGAACCAGCCAAGUCGCGUGAGGGAAGACGGCCCUACGGGUUGUAAACCUCUUUUGUCGGGGAGCAAAGCGAACCACGUGUGGUUCAUUGAGAGUACCCGAAGAAAAAGCAUCGGCUAACUCCGUGCCAGCAGCCGCGGUAAUACGGAGGAUGCGAGCGUUAUCCGGAUUUAUUGGGUUUAAAGGGUGCGCAGGCGGAGGUGCAAGUCAGCGGUCAAAUUGCGGGGCUCAACCCCGUACUGCCGUUGAAACUGCAUCCCUUGAGUGCGCGAGAAGUAUGCGGAAUGCGUGGUGUAGCGGUGAAAUGCAUAGAUAUCACGCAGAACUCCGAUUGCGAAGGCAGCAUACCGGCGCGCAACUGACGCUCAUGCA
rnacentral:rRNA from 1 species